rnacentral:rRNA from 1 species
ACGGCUCAGUAACACGUCGGUAACCUACCCUCGGGAGGGGGAUAACCCCGGGAAACUGGGGCUAAUUCCCCAUAGGCCUGAGGUACUGGAAGGUCCUCAGGCCGAAAGGGACUUAUGUCCGCCCGAGGAUGGGCCGGCGGCCGAUUAGGUAGUUGGUGGGGUAACGGCCCACCAAGCCGAAGAUCGGUACGGGCUGUGAGAGCAGGAGCCCGGAGAUGGACACUGAGACACGGGUCCAGGCCCUACGGGGCGCAGCAGGCGCGAAACCUCCGCAAUGCGGGAAACCGCGACGGGGGGACCCCGAGUGCCGUGGCAACGCCACGGCUUUUCCGGAGUGUAAAAAGCUCCGGGAAUAAGGGCUGGGCAAGGCCGGUGGCAGCCGCCGCGGUAAUACCGGCGGCCCGAGUGGUGGCCGCUAUUAUUGGGCCUAAAGCGUCCGUAGCCGGGCCCGUAAGUCCCUGGCGAAAUCCCACGGCUCAACCGUGGGGCUUGCUGGGGAUACUGCGGGUCUUGGGACCGGGAGAGGCGGGGGGUACCCCUGGGGUAGGGGUGAAAUCCUAUAAUCCCAGGGGGACCGCCAGUGGCGAAGGCGCCCCGCUGGAACGGGUCCGACGGUGAGGGACGAAGGCCAGGGGAGCAAACCGGAUUAGAUACCCGGGUAGUCCUGGCUGUAAAGGAUGCGGGCUAGGUGUCGGGUGAGCCUCGAGCUCGCCCGGUGCCGUAGGGAAGCCGUUAAGCCCGCCGCCUGGGGGAGUACGGCCGCAAGGCUGAAACUUAAAGGAAUUGGCGGGGGAG